rnacentral:sRNA from 1 species
UUGCAUAAUCAUUUGCAAAUGUCGUCCU